ACCCUCCGGUUCCCUUUCCCAUCGGAUCUGAACACUGGUCUUGGUGGUCGUAAAAGGAGGAAAAGGAACGCUGAGGCUGGUCCUGCAGUGCUCAUAGUCUCAUAUAUAGCAUGUGGGCUAGUUUCAAACAAAG